AAUUAGAUAGUUGCCAUCCUAUACUCAAAGCCAAAUAUAAAGGGAUUCUAGCAUGUCCACAUCAUCAAUUAUAUUUGGCCAAUAAGAACAUUUCAUUAAUCCAUUGGAUAACACGAGGCUCUACGCUUCUCGCUCUUCGUCUUCACCAUCGUUUCAGUUCUCCCGAUCCAGAACUCCACUACAUCUCUAUCCAUCAAUUCCUUCUUUAUGAUUUCGAUUCCGUUUAGAUUGGUUAGGGUUUAGAUCUCGAUUUGCUCAAUUUGUUGUUCGUUUGCUUUUGUAGGUGGUUACAGUGAAAGUGUUAUUAGCUUAAACGAUGGAGAAGGUGUACGAAGAGCUAGACGAAGUCAAAGCCGCGAACGAGAAGCUCAGAGGAGACUUCAGAGCCAAAACGGAGCUUCUUGAGAACCUAAAGAAGGUUCAGAACAAGCAGUUGAUAGAGAUUCAAGAGGCGAGAUCUGUAAUCGAGAAGCAAGGUUAUGCCUUCAGAAACUCACUUAGGUCGGACUUUGUAAAUUGCAAUCAUGUGGCCGCUUUGCCUUCUGGAGUUUCCAGUGGAUUCGAUAGUUUCUUUUCAGCGUCAUAAUUCAAAUCUCCACUGAUGUUUCAUCUUAUUGGCUUAUUUAAGUGAUUUCUUAAUAAUCCACAUGACCAGUAAGCUCCAUGCAUGAUCAUCUCACGUCGACUCUGCUUUUUUUUUUUCUGAUUGGGGAUCCUUGAUUCUUGCUUUCUUAAUAAGAUCUUUUUUCUGAUAAUUCCUUUUUUCCGUCACAAACGAAAUGGGAACACAUUGAUAAUAUAACCUCCACCCGUGUUCUUUCUUAUAUAAUUGGUGUGAUCUAAUAUUUUAACAAGCUUCAGUCUUGAUUAAUUUGUGUUUUUGGUUUUUCACAAGGAAGGUAUGGUGAUGGAGAAUGAGUAAUACGACACCUUAACAGUCAAAACUGAUACUUCCGAAGCUAACACUAAAAAGACAAGCAAGGACAGUUCAUCGGAGAUUCUCAAGCUACUACAAAAUUUCAGUUCUGUUUUUUGGUUCAAGGUGAUGGGAUCAGUCCUUGCGAUUAAACAUAUUACUCACAUUUUUCCUGAGCGAGAGUAUAUGAUUGGGCAAUUGAUGUCUCUUGGUUUUUGCAAGUGUUCAAGAAUUCCUGGUGUUCUCUUUGACCUUAUGUUGAUUUAGAGUACAAAAAAUACAGAGGUAAUUACUUUUCUAUUAUCUGCUUGAGGGCUUUGUCUUCGUCAUUUACUUAUUGCCGUUAGCGUUAAAAAGAAGUUUGUGUCAUGUUUGUUGCUUUUAUAUGGCUUGCAAGUUUUGUCUGAAUGACCAGGUGAAGAGAGAGAGAAGCGUCGGUCGCGCUAUGUCGGUGCCGCCAUUAGAGAGAAACUGUUUUUAUUGGCAGCAGAGCAGACAAGAAACAACAUGGAGAGUAAUAAUGAAGUCUAUGCUAUGUUAGAAGGUUUGAAUUGUUGGACAUGGUGGUGAUGCACGAAGUGUUAUUGUGGGCACAAGGAAGGGCUUGUGAGGAACAUAUACUUCCCGUUUGACAUAGAAAGCGACACGGCAAUUAGCGUUGCAAGAGAGAUGGUGGAAGAGCUGGAGAUGGACGACCGUGAUGUGACAAAGAUAGCUAACAUGAUCGAUGGAGAGAUUGCUUCUCUGGUUCCUGAUUGGAGAUCAGGCCUAGGGUUUGAGAGCAGUUUUUGCAACUGCGCCUCGAACCGGUCAGCUAUAGACUUCAACGUGAGGCAGUGUUGUACAAACAUGUGUGGAGAGAAGCAUGGACGGUUUGAGGAGAUCACUUUGGGACUACACAACUUUGGCAAACACUACAAGAAAACGUUCGAAAAGGUAGACUUACUGCCCAUUACAGAGAGAUGUUCGGUGAGCCAGGUAGUCACCAACCGACGACUCACAUGCCGAGGCGGAUGUAACGGCGAGGAGUGAUGAAUUCUACCGGGCGAUUAACGACCCUUAGUUCUUUUUAAUUUCGGUUCUUGUAUUAUGAAUUCAAAACUUAUUUAUAUAUAAAAUAUUUUGGUUUUGAUUUUUUUAGAAUUUUAAUUUUAUUAAUAAUUUAAAUAAUUUUUUUAAUUAUAAUUUUUUUUUAUUUCUGUAAAAUAACGAAACGAAGUAAUUUCGUAGCUAUUUUGCGACUUCUUUACGUGGAAGAUUAAAGAGGUUUUUACGAGGAAAUGUUUACAAGGAAAUGACGUGGAAAAUUCACGUGGUCUUUACGAGGAAAGCUAUCAAGAUAUUUACGUUUACUUUACGAGUAUUUACUUUCGAGUUAUUUACGUGGCUUUAACGAGGAAUCGCUUUCGAGGUAUUUACGAGGAAAUUUAGCGACGUCCUUACGUGGAAGCUUUACGUGGUCUUUACGACGAAAUAUUCUUCUUCGCUUUUACGACGAAAUUAUUUUCUCGCUACGUUACGACGAAUUAGCGAGGAUAUAUGCGUUACGACAAACGUAUAACGACGAAACGGGUUUCCUCGCUAAUUCCUCGUAACACUGCUUUUACGACGAAAUCACGAGGAAAACUGCCCUCGUAAAACUUGUGUUUUCUUGUAGUGAAAGCUUUAUAUUCCCAUGGAAAAAUGACAUUUUUGCUGUCUUUUGUUAAUAUGUGUAGAAUUUUUUACAGUAAUGUUGACAAACCAAGAAAUAUCACAGUAAUUAUUUAAUCAUAGCUCAUUAGGCCGGUGACUGUCUUGAAAUCAGUUUAUCAUUCUCAAUUUUGAAAAAUAAACAAAAAGACAUUCUUUUUUAUCAUUAAAAAAAAUUAUAUAUUUUUAGAA